GUGCUCGCUUCGGCAGCACGCAUACUAAAAUGGGAACGGGACACAGAGGAUUAGCAUGGCUCCUGCGCACGAAUGACACGCAAAUUCGUGAAGCAGUCCAUAGUUUU